UACAGAGGGUGCAAGCGUUUAAUCGGAAUUACUGGGCGUAAAGCGCGCGUAGGCGGCUUGACAAGUCGAGUGUGAAAUCCCCGGGCUUAACCUGGGACCUGCAUUCGAAACUGUCUUGCUAGAGUAUGGGAGAGGGAAGUGGAAUUUCAGGUGUAGCGGUGAAAUGCGUAGAUAUCUGGAGGAAUACCGGUGGCGAAGGCGGCAUCCUGGACCAUUACUGACGCUGAGGCGCGAAAGCUAGGGGAGCAAACGGG
rnacentral:rRNA from 1 species